UGAGAUACACCCUCUGUCUCAUCCACCAUUCAGGUCAAUCAUUUCAUCUGUCACUCACCAUGGGCAGAUGUAUCGAAGGCGCUGUGUAAAUUGAUGACUGCCCAGUAAAACGUAUCAUCCCUUUCCACAUGAUCAUUUCUGGAUGCUUCCUUUCACCUUCCUGUCUUUGAGGCCAAUAUUGGACUUUCAUCGGCAACAGCGUACUGCAACACAUCUCUAUACCUCUUUGCCUUUUCUACCACAGUCAUAUUGGACAUUAUCAUUGUGCUUGUGUUGUCCGGUGUGUUGAGCAGUUUCUGUAAGAGCUUCGUGCUGUAUCUGGUCUGUGUUCUCUAUACAAGUCUGAUGAUGUCAAACUUGAGCAGGUUGUUGAGCCUUUGAGGUGUGUGGGGACUGCGGAGGGUGAGGGGACUGAAGAGUGUGUGGGGCAUGAUGAGAGUGUGGUGACUGGGGUGUGUGUGUGGGGACUGGGGUGUGUGUGGGGCAUGACAAGUGUUCUGUAAUUGAGCAGAGAGGUCACCAGGUGUGAUCUAAGAUAAGUCCAACAGGUUUGUCCUCGGGGUUUCGCCUGCCAUUUGAGUUCUGUUAUACUCACAGACAUUAUUUUAACAGUUUUAGAAUCUUUAGAGUGUUUUCUAUCCAAAUCUACCAAUUAUAUGCAUAUCCUAGCACUGGGCCUGAGUAGGAGGCAGUUUACUUUGGGCAUGCUUUUCAUCCGGACGUUAAAAUACUGCCCCCUAUCCCAAAGAAGUUGAAAAAAAAAAUCUUUUUUUUUAACCUAUAUUUAACUGGGCAAGUCAGUUAAUAACACAUUAUUAUUUACAAUGACGGCCUUCCCCGGCCAAACCCAGACAACGCUGGGCCAAUUGUGCGCCGCCCUAUGGGACUCCUAAUCACGGCCGGAUGUGAUACAGCUGACUUGCUUAAACAAAUGUGGUUUCUACUGACAAUUGAGAUGUACAAACUAUGGCAUAAGGGGACGACAAGUGGAUAAGAGGCAAUCUGUAAUUUCGAUUUAAGACAUUAAUGAGUGAGCCAGGACGGACAUAGUCAAUAUAACUAUUUCUUCAGCACUUUUGAAAUGUACAGCGACAGAAUUCAGAACAUGGGCCAUUCUUACAGUGUUCUCCAUGUACACUAACUCAGAACCUUAGGAUAAAUAAUGGGGGCAUAUAAGCAGAUAAUGAAAGCUCUUACAAUAUUCGAUGAUUACAUUUCUCAAAAACAGGUUAUUGGCUACAUGUGCACCACCAAGUCAGAACAGUAGGCGAAAUUAAGAGGUGAAAAUAGACCAAAUUAUUAGGAUGAGGCACAUGGGCUACUAACAUUUUACUACACAACAUAGACUUAGUAAUACUUUCUUAGCUACAGUAUACAUAUCUCCCUGGCAUAUUACAUCAUUUAUGCAGCAGUAUAUAAAACAUUUUUGGACUCACCUUGUUGUGAUGUGCUCACUUGAACAGGAAGGUGGCGCGGCGGUCCUUCGUGGGCAAGUUUUGUCAUCAAAGAAAGACAAAGAUGCCGGAUUUAGAAUUCCGAGUUGUGUGACCGUUCAGAACGUAUUUUCCCAGUCUGAGCUUGUUUAUUCCUGACUUCCCAGUUGCAAUGCUUGCAGUUAGCCACUGUCACCAAUUCCUUCCAAACCACCCAUUGCUGAAUUUGCGAUUUCCAACUUGUUGUGUAAUGUUUAUGUCCAAUGGUCGAUGAGCACCGAUAUGUUUUAUCUAUAAUUUCUCUUCAUAUGACAAGGAUUAGCCAGUAGAUUGUCAACUUGAUUCAUGAUGAUUGCUAGCUAAGAUUUUGAAAGUAAGAGGUUGACAUGAUCAGUCCAAUCAAAGCUACUGUACAUAUAAUGUGAUUUG
rnacentral:lncRNA from 1 species